rnacentral:lncRNA from 1 species
GGGGUUUGGAGGAGCUUCUGGUUUUUCACAGAUGUUCCUGAAGUUCUCCAGAGAGGUCAGCAGGGGGCUCCAUUCUCUGUGUUCAUUAGUACUUGCGCAGUGUGGACUAGAGACAGGUUUUGGGGACAAGGAAAGUCGAGAGAGCCUAGCAUUCAAUGUCAAUCAUGGGCUCCCUGGGAUCCUCCUGCCACCAACUAAUCUGGGAUCCCCAUGGAGGAGGGACAUUUGACAUCAACCUGGAGUCCGUUGGAGGUUUGUAUUCUGGGGAAUGGCGUCUUGAUCUGAUUGUGUAUGAAGCUGCCUUGGUGACUAUAAUAACAUUUAUUAAGCACUAGUAAUGUGCACUUAGACACUAGGCUGAGUGUAUGUGUUUUGUAUGUUUUUGUCCCCAUGAUAAGGGGGACAGUACUUUUAUUCAGUGUCCUCUUCUUCUCUCUGGAGUGUGGGGCCUUCUGGGGAUUUCCUGAGGGAGUGACUAGGGUAGGGAGCACCUGAAAUUGCUUGGGCCAGCAAAUAUUUACUGAGAGGUACAGAACUACUUCAGCAUUUUAACAGCUGGAACCGCUGUACUAGUGUGUACCAGGUGAACCUAACUCCUGUGCGGAUGUCACCAAGACGCUCGACUUUGCAGGUUCUAGCAUGGUGAGAGCUUGGCAGCUUUGCCAUCCUUCCCUAACAAGGUCCUGCAAGCCUGUGCUUCCUUUUUCCAUGACUACCCAGUGCCCUGUGCUUCAGUCACACUGAACUCCUUCUAGAAGCUUCCUUCUCACAGACUCUUUGUUUUCUCCAGGGCUUCACUACAGUUCUUCCCUCUUCUCUCUGCCUGGGGGACCUCCACUACUCAUUUUUUUCAAGAGCAGGCAUAGGCAUCUUUCCUUUAGGACCCCAGAUCUUGACCCCAGAUUUGUAUAGGGGCUCCAUUACCUGGCACCAGAGGCCCUUAUGCUUCCUCUUUGUGGCCUAUUGAGCUUUACGAGGGCUUGGAACCAUGUAAAGGAUAUAUAUCCACAGCACUGAGUAUCAAGCCUGGUACAUAGUAGAUGCUUAGUAAAUAUUUGUUAUAAAGGGCUUAGAGGGGCUGGGGUUAUAGCUCAGUGGUUGAGCACUUGCAUCACAUGCACGAGGCCCUGGGUUCGAUCCUCAGCACCACAUAAAAAUAAAAUAAAGGUAUUGUGUCCAUGUACAACUAAAAAAACAUUAAAAAGCGGGGUGGGGGGCACUUAGAAAGGGACUCCAGGGUGGUAGAUGGCUUUGAGAGGGUGCCCUGGAACAGAGGCCAGGCCUGCUUGGAACUGCACAGUUUCAACUGAUAGAUAUCAGCCCAAGGAACCAUGACAAAUUGAGAAUUGAAGUAGAAGAGGCCUCAACACACUUCUCUCUGUUCCAAAUACUAGGAGCACUGAAUCCAGCCUGUUUUCCACUUGUUCUUCCUUAUCCCAGUCUCCAGCCCCAACACUACUGAGGCAGAAGGAUCCCCAGUUCAAAGCCAGCUUCAGCAAAAGUGAGGAGCUAGAUAACUCAGUGAGAUACUGUCUCGAAAGAAAAUACAAAAUAGGGCUGGGGAUGUGGUUCAGAGGUCGAGUGCCCCUGCCUGAGUUUAAUCCCCAGAAAUUCCCUCCUUCCAUCCUUCCUCCCAUCCUUCCUUCCUUUCCUCCUGGGAAUAGAACCCAGAGCCUCACACACACUAGACAAAUUCUCUAUCACUGACCUACACCCUCAGUUCUUUAUAUUUAUUUUGAGACAAGAGCUUGCCCAAUUACCAAGGCUGGCCUUGAACUUGCAACCCUCCUGCCUCAGCCUCUGGGUGGCUGGGAUUACAGGUAUGUGUCACUGUGCCCAGCUAGAAGAGUUGUUUUUGAACUUGGGUUUUGUUUUGUUUUUAGCAGUAAAUACCUUUUAAAAGUCAUUUUUAUUUUUAAUGUUUCUAUUCAAAUGACAUGGUUUAAAAUUGAGAUAGGAACAUUUCCAGUUUCCUCCUCAAGACUCACUUCUGUGUUUUGUAUUUUUGUUUUGUUAAAUGGUGCACGGAUUGAACCCAGGGCCUCACACUUGCUAGGCAAGUGCUAGGACACCAAGCCACACCCUCAGCCCUCCAUGUCUCACUUCUGUAGAGAACUUCUCUAAACUUUUUUUUUUUUUUUAGCUGUUUCUACUGGCAUUUGAUUUUUGAUUGCAUGUUUCUAAUAACAUACCGUUUUUUAAAAUUCAUCAAUUUUAGACAUUAUGUCUUUUUGUGUGGGUGGUGCUGGAGAGCAAACUCAGGGUCUUGCCAGCCUCUGCAACUUGGUGAGGCCCAAUCUCUCAAAAUAAAAAAUAAAAAGUGCUGGGGAUGAAGCUCAGUGGUUAAGCACCCCUGAGUUCAAUUCCUGGUACUAAUCAAACCAAAAACCAAACCAAACCAAAACCAGGGUCUUGUGCAUGCAAAGCACACUCUCUACCACUGAAUUAUGUACCCCCAGUCAUCUCUCUCUCUCUCUCUCUCUCUCUCUCUUUCUUUCCUCCUCCCUCCUCCUCCUCCUCCUCCUCCUCCUCCUCCUCCUCCUCUUCUUCUUCUUCUUUUCUUGUGUUGGGGAUUAAACACUCAGGGGGUGCUUUAACACUGAGCUACAUCCCCAGUCUUUUUAAUUUUUAUUUUGAGUCAGGAUCUUGCUAAUUUGCUGAGACUGGCCUUGAACUUGUGAUCCUCCUGCCUCUGCCUCCCAAGUCUCCAGGAUUACAGGUGUGCGCCACCAUACCCAGCAUUCCCAGCAAGGCCUUUUCUUUUUUUCUUUUUUUUUUUAGGGGGGGAUUUCUGGGGAUUAACUCAGGCAGGGGCAGUCAAUCACUGAGCCACAUCUCCAGCCCUAUUCUGUAUUUUCUUUCGAGACAGGAUCUCACUGAGUUGCCUAGCACCUCACUUCUGCUGAAACUGGCUUUGAACUGGGGAUUCUUCUGCCUCAGCCUCCUAAGCUGCUGGAAUUACAGGCAUGCAACAUCGUGCCUGGCUCCAGCUGUGACUUUUUUAUAACAACUUUCUUGUCUAUAAUUUCCAUGUCAUACAAUUUACAUAUGUAAGAUGUACAAUUUGAUGAUUUUUACAAAAUUGUACAAUCAUUACCAUGAUCUAUUUUAGACCAUUUUUUUUAAAAAAUAUUUUUUUAGUUGUUGAUGGACCUUUAUUUAUUUAUUUGUUUGUUUGUUUGUAUGUGGUGCUGAGAAUCGAACCCAGUGCCCCAUGCAUGCUAGGCAAGCAAGCCACCACUGAGCCACACUCCAGGCCAAUUUUAGACCAUUUUUAUUACAUAAAAGCCAAAUUCCCCUGCCUGGCUCCGUGGUACAUGCCUGUAAUCCCAGCCACUCAGGAGGCUGAGACAGGAGGAUCGCCAGUUCAAAGACAGCCUCAGCAACAACAAGGUGCUUAGUUACUCAGUGAGACCCUGUCUCUAAAGAAAAUACAAAAUAGGGCUGGAGAUGUGGCUCAGUUGUCGAGUGCUCCUGAGUUCAAUCCUUGGUACCAAAAAAAAAAAACCCAAACCAACCAACCAACCAAACAAACAACAAAGAAAAACCCAGACUCCCUCAUAUCAUUUCUUCCCUAACUCCCUAGUCCCUGGCAACAACCAAUUUCUAUUUCUAUGGAUUUGCCCUUUCCAGACAUUUCCUCUAAAUGUAAUCAUACAAUAGGUGCUCCUUUGUGAUUUGUUCCUUUAACUUAGCAAAAUAACUGUGGAACUUUAUCCAUGCUAUAGCAUGUAUCAGUGGACUAAUUAAUACCCACUGCACAGAUGCAUAUUUUGUUUAUUCUUUUGCCCGCAACCUGCGCAGAUGAGCCUAACUGGGUUUAAACAGGCUGGCUGCAACAUUAAGCUAAGAAGACGGGGAAGAAAAAUCACAUAACACACAGACGUAAUUUUUUUUAAAAAUCGAGGGCAGGACAGAUCUUUGAUCUUAAGGGUCAGCUUCCUCGCUGGAAAGAGAGAAAGUGAGCCUGUGCUUCCUUUAUUUUAUAGUGGGAACAUCAGAGAGGAUAAGUUUUCAAGGGUGAAGUCUUGCUUCAUAAUGUCUCUAGUCAGCAGACUGAUUGACAUCUUGGCAAGUCACACCCAUCUCAGGUGCUGUGUGGGAUCUCAGGCAGAGCUAGAGGGGAAGGCUCACCUGCAUCAGGGAGUUCGCAGUGCCAGGCCUGACAUUUGGCUACUGUACACAAUAGUUCGCACACACAGCCCAUGGUCGGCUCGAAACAUACCCAUUCAUCAGCUGAUGGACACUUGAAGCUAUUUCUUCUUGUUGGCAAUUAUAAAUAAUGUCACAUGAAUACUUGGGUACAAAUUUUUGCUCCUCUGAACGUUUUCAAUCUUCAUUUGUUCACUUGCAAUGCUAGGGAAUGAACCCAGGACCUUGUAUAUGAUAGGAAAGAACUCUGACACUGAAAUACAUCUUCAGGCCUUCAGUUCUCUAGAAUAAUAUAAACUUUGGAGUGGAAUUUCUGGGUCACAUGGAAACUCGGUGUUUUUAGCAUUUGAGGAAUUGCCAGUCUGUUUUCUAAAGUUGUUAUACCAUUUCACAUUUCCAUCAGCAUGAUAUAAGCAUUGGACAUUAUGUCUUGAGUACUUGUUAGAAUACUUGAGAUUUGGUGGUUUAAAUUAGACUCCCAAAUAAGUCAACCAGACAGAAGUGCUUUGGUUCUGAUGGACAUGGGGCAUGUACAGUCAGUCCCAGCAGGAAACAGAAUCCAAUUCGGAUGGUUCUAGAGCGGUGCUGUCCAAUAGAAAUUUCUGGGGUGAUGGACAUUUCUACAUCUGUGUCAUUCAAAAUGGCAGCCACUAGCCACUUUGGACAGGGAACACAGUUAAAACGUGGCUAGUGCAACCCAGGAACUGCAUUUUAAAUUGCAUUUAAUAUUAAUUAACUUAAGUAUAAAUAUUCACAAGUGUCUAGUGGUUUAAUGUUGGUAAGUGCCGUUCUUAGAGGAUUCAUAUAGGGACUCCUUGUAGAAAUAUGAGCAUGGAUAAGAGAACCGACAAGAAACUCUGUAGCACAAGGGGCUGGUGACUAUGGGGAGUUGUUACUACCUCUAGGACUGAAGUGGUAAGGGGAGGAAAUUGUGUUCCUGAGGAGGGAUCUCACGAUUUUGCAGACAUGGUCAGGAAUGAGGCCACUGGCAAUGGGAAAGAAUGUCCCAACUCUCCUUUCUUCCCUGAUCUCCAGACAGUCCUCUCUUCAGUGAACCCAAGUAGAAGCCAGAGGGUGAGGGGAGCCUCCAGGGCAGAGAAUAGAUCUGGGGAGCAAAGGGGUGGGUGACAACUAGCCCAGAUGACAAACCCACAGUGCAACAUUGUCUGAGAUCACAACCUAGGUUCAACCCAUCGAACGGAACAGAUACAUGGGGCAGGGUCGGGGGACAGCUCUGGAGCUCAUAUUGUUUUAGAGGGAUAUUUGCUGAGUUCUUAAAGGCUGAAAUAGGAGAAGAGAAAAAUUAAACUCCCUAACAGGCCUCGUCACAAGCUGAGCAAUUUCACUGACAUUUUAUAAUAGUCCCAGAGAGGGCAGCACCGUUACCUUCAACUUAGAGCUGGGACAAGGACAAGCAGUGACACCUAUCUUGACAUUUUUCCAGACUGGAGGAAAGCCUGCCAAGGUGUAAUGCCAAGCACUCCAUCUACGUGCAGGAGCCCCGGCUGAUCCAAAAUCGUGUCUCUACUGCCUGAGAUCAAUGUGACUGGGUCCUCCAACUCUCCGUAUCCAUGACAACAACUAGUAUCUAUCAUGUAUCAAGAAUCUUGAGGGGGGCUGGGGAUGUGGCUCAAGUGGUGGCGCGCUCGCCUGGCAUGUGUGCGGCCCGGGUUCGAUCCUCAGCACCACAUACAAACAAAGAUGCUGUGUCCGCCCAUAACUG